ACGCUCGACACCUACGAGAGGCAGCAGUGGGGAAUAUUGCACAAUGGGGGAAACCCUGAUGCAGCGACGCCGCGUGGAGGAAGAAGGUCUUCGGAUUGUAAACUCCUGUUGUUGGGGAAAAAGAGGAUGGUACCCAACAAGGAAGUGACGGCUAACUACGUUCCAGCAGCCGCGGUAAUCUGAGCGGGCUGGCAAGGC
rnacentral:rRNA from 1 species